AACUGCUACGUACGGAUGAACUAAUUAACACACGCAUGCAUGCAAAUAUACGAUGCUUAAUUAAUUAACACCGAUCGAUCCCCAUUAAAACCAAACCACAUCGAUCAGACGUCGAAGGUGUUCUUGCCGGUGAACUUGACCUCAAUCGGGCUAACAUUCUUCCCGAUGCUCCUGAAAUUCUGCCCGACGCCCUGCCUGCCGGCGUUCACCUUCUCCGGGUACACCCCGUCCUUGGGGUGGAGGUACUGCACCUCGCCGCUGGGGAAGACGCGGUAGAACUGGUAGGCGAUCUUGUACUUGGAGCGGAGCCGGUUGCCGAGCGCCAGGCACUGCUCCUUGCGCGCCAGCUUGAGGAGGUUGGGCCCCUCACGCAUGAUGGCGGCGCCGCCCGUCGGCAUCUCGAACACCUGCUCCUUGGGCGACGUCCACGUGAUGACGUAGAAUUCCUCGACCUGGGCUUUGCGGAGGAGCCCGCCCGUGCUGCCGCCGAAGAUUGGGGAUGGGGUUGAGGGGUCGAGCUGGGGCGGGACGAAGCCGGCGGGGGCUGGGGUGGCGACGGGAGCCGCCGGGGUUUCUGGGGCGGCGGCGUGGAGGGCGGUUGGGGCGCGGGAGGUGGGGGAAGGGAAGGCGAGGGAGCGGGGUUUGGGGGAGGAGGAAGGGGACCGGGUGGCGGCGAGGAGGUGGCGGGUGGCGGCGGAGGCUUGCGUGGCCAUGGCCAUGGCGGGAGCUAGCUUAGCGAGAGCAAGGAGCGCGCGUGUGGGGGAUGGAUAUGGAUCGGAGUUGAUGGAGGGAAGAAGAAGAAGGGGUGGCUGAGCUUUGGCUAAAGAGGGGAUUGGGGGUGGAGAAGCGGAUAAGGGGAUAUGAGGCCGGCCAAUGGGGAGCCCGGGUUUUGAUACGGCCGGAGCGGGAGGCUUGGCGUGGCGACCACAGAAAACACAAUACAAAUCGCAGCGUGUCAACGUGCACUGGGGUCGCCGGUCGCGGUUUUCCGUGGAUUUUCCUUCCACUCUGUAUGUAUCCGACGACGUUCUAGAUCUUUUCCGUAAAGAGUUGCUUUAGUCGAUUUAAGGUGAGAGCAUUGGAAGCACUACAUGUAACGUGAAACACUGGCGUAACGUAAGUUGUAUUGCUCCAUAACCAGCUGCGACAUUCAUGUAGUGCUUACAUUGUAGUAGAAGGUAAGUACAAGUACAAGGGCUGCCGAGUGUACAGGUGUGCCGUUGAUUCAGGCCGGGAAUUGGGGACGUUGUCACGUUGACUUGGCCCAAACAAAGGAGAGUAGACUACUCUAAUUUGGUCUUCCCUGGAAACCUGGAGAGCCUGUCUCCUAGUGGUACAGGCUUAUGUUGCAGGCCGGGCUACAGGUGCGUAUUACGUAUUGGCUGGGCCGGCCUUUUCUGGGCCGGACAAGAUCGGUAGAAACAAUUUUUCCGAGGCAGGUAAACUGGCUCUAACGAAAUUUGCUGAAUUUGUUUUAUGAAUUUGGUGUAAAAAAAUACACAUGAAAGUAUGAUUAAAUUUAUCAGCGAAAUAAUUCAAUAAGAAAAAACAUGGGUACAUGAAACGGGAUUAUCAGAAACAUUCACGUUGUACCCCCUCCGUCCUAAAUAAGAAGUCCUAGGUUUAUAGAAAAGUCUAGAACUAUAAAUUACUUUUAUGAAAUCUUUCAUCGUAUGGCACCAUCUUUAUCUCGCCUUCAGCAUCGAUAUUCAGAGCCUUGAUUCCACCUGAUCAUCAUUGGGUCAGCUUGUUUCUGUUCGUACGAUGUCUCACAUACCAACCGAUUCUACACUCUGUACAUCAUCGAUGACCAUAAGGAUUUGCGCUAAUCCGCUCCUCCCGUUGUCCAUCGUCCGUCCGUGUGAGUCAUCUUGUAGCUCGCUCGUGUCAUCCUGCGUGCAUGUUCUCUUUCAGAAUGGUGAGAGGGCAUGCCUGCUCAAAUAUGGGACAGCAUGUCAACAAGCUCCCAUUCACUCUCUGCCACAUAUCCAGAUGAUGCUUGAAAUGCUUGAAAACUAAUGCAUGACGGGAGUUGGCAGGAGACAAGGGUGAUGACCUAAGGGGCCACGAAAAAGAAAAGAGGAAGAGAAAAUACAAGGACAUUUUGGUCUAAAUUCCUACCGUGUUUCUGUAAGUUUCAAGAAGUUGAUGUCGAAUUUAUCCGAAAUUGGUUUUUCUCAGCAGCUUCUAUUAAUACAGAAAAAUUGUCCUUGCAAUGGCAUUUAGCCAAUUAAUUAUAAGGAAAUAGUUUCUUGAAUCUUCAAAAUAAUCGUAUGAAAGAAAACCAUGCGGUUGCAAAUAUGGAUCCUUUCAACACCCACGUUUUCUUCAACAAAACAAGUCUUAGAAAAUAUAGCCGCUGCACCCACGACCCAACCUAGGGCGCCAAAGCCAAACUGUAGACCAGAAAAACCCUGGACCAUCCACGCCGUCCAUCUCCGAUCCUACGUCCACGGGCUUCCCCACGGCGAAGAGCAGCGGCCUCGAUAUAGGAGGGAGUCGCUGCUUCGUCGGCCCUUCUCGCCAAAGGAAACGCAGCCCAGGAAGCAACAGCCUCAUCUCCCCCCCUCCCAAGAACUCCCCUCUCUGCUCCAAGCUCCGGCCCCCAAUCUCCUGCAGAUUUCUCCCCCGCGAAUCGCCGGCGGAGCAGCGGAUCUGCGAGCAUUCUCUCGCCCCCUUCGGUCUCCUGGCGGCGCACGGGCGACCAUGGCCUAGGGUUUUGCUCUCGCCCUCUCUCGCUGAACUGCUGGGAACCCGGCGCCGCUGGGCUAGACCGUGCCGGCGGCUGAGCUAGGGCGUGUUCGGGGCAGGUCGGGCGUGGCGGCGGCUGGUCGGGGAAGCAAGUCGGGCCUGGCGGCGCGCUGACCUGGGAUAGGAGGAGGGCCACGAGUGUUUGCGGCGGCAAGACCGGCAACCGGCAGCAGGACCUCCUCUGCUUCAGUUUCGGCUUCUGGUGGUUCGUUGCUCCGAAUCCUGAGGUAUAAACCCUAACUCACUGUUGAUUCGUGGAGAAGUUGUGGAUCCGGUUGGUGGCCAGUAGAUCCGCUUGGUUUCGCCCUUCCUCGGUUUGAUUAUGUUGGUAGAUGAGUUGAAAUCCCUCCGUUAGCACUGUUACUUCUGGAGAAGAGGGACGUUUUUUUUUUGCCUUGCACCGGCAGUUUGUAGUGGGAGUAUGUGCUUCUGACUUCCAUUUUUUGUUGUAAAAUAGUAGUACUCCGUAUUUGUUUGGUUAAUUGUUCAUAUUUAUUGCAAAAACUUCUCCACAAACUAUUGAUGUGUUGCGUUUUGUUGUUGUUGCUAAACACUCAAACUGGCCAUCACCGGCUUAACCAAACAUUCAAAGUGACUCAUCCAAGUCCAUCAAAUCUUGGUCGCCUGCCCACCCGUCUGCCCAUCUUCAACCAAACUUAGUUUCAGUUUAUACUUUGUACCCCAACUAUGCUUUUACUACCAGCUAGAGGAGAUUUAACAGUCACUCGAAGAUGUCGAAUCUACCCGUAGAGAACUAUUUUAUAUAUUUUUUAAAUUCAUUCUGGUCUGCAGUUUAGGAUUUAGCUGCUGACGGAUUUGCUCUUUCAGGAUAACGAUGGAUCAGGAUAAGGAAUCAAGACCCUCAAGGUCACCCAGUGAGCCAAACUUAUUCCUGCAAUGGGGCAGCCGGAAGCGGCUUCGCUGUGUCAAGACACGCGAAGAUGGCUCGCCAUCACCAGCUCGGUCUGAUGUGCUUAGACGUACCAUACCCCGAGUAAAUCGGCCCCUUCUGGGUGGUGAUGUUGCACAAUUUCGUUCACCACGGCGCCCAAGCACUCUUCAUAGCAGGUAAUUCCCAUACGCAUAUGCCCCUUUUGUGUAGCAGUGGAAAAUGUCAAGAAAUGCCUUAGUAGGGUGUCUCAACAUGAUGUUUGUCAGCAGGAAAUCUGAGGCACAGGCGAGUGAGAACAGGCAGUCCAUGUCGCUCUCGCCAGAGAAAGACCGGUAUUACUCCACUAGGGGUUCCCCAUUUCAUUUUGAGGGGAAUGGUUUUGAUUUCAAUGGUGGAGUGGAAGAGAAGGGCACCACAGCUCUGCCAAGGUUCUUCAUCUCACUGUCCAACAAGGAGAAAGAGGAGGACUUCAUGGUAAUGAAGGGCUGCAAGCUUCCACAGAGGCCGAAGAAGAGGCCAAAGUUGAUGCAGAAGUCCUUGCUUGUAAUGCUUUCUUCCACAAAUUUAACUGCAAAGUUUUGCUCUUUUCAAAGCUGUGAAUUGUGUUCAUGCUCAUUUCUAACACUCUUGUUUUUCACCGUUGUGCAUGUCCAUAGAUGGUAUGCCCAGGAGCAUGGCUGUCAGACUUGUCACAUGAGAGGUAUGAAGUUAGAGAGAAGAAGAGUUCCAAAAAGGUAAACCUAGACUGCAAUCAUUUCUGUUUGGUUGCAAGUAACCUAACUGUUCUCUUAGUUCAAAUUUAAGUUCAUCUGUGUACAGUUGUUAACACGUGCAAAAUCAUUCAGCAGAGGGCUAGAGGACUGAAGGCUCUGUGCAUGGAGAGUGAUUCAGAGUAGAGAUUGAGGAGGGGGUCAAUUUUUUUUGACUUGUGCUGGAGGCAGAAAGACAGCGGUACUUAAGUAGCAAUGGUGGCUCUUUAACUAGACAAACCUCAGCAGCUAAUUUAGCAGGGGGGAUCAGUGCCUGCGCCCCUCCCUUAUUCACCCAUGUUGUAUGUCCAUUAUCCCACCCCCUUUUUUUUGUCGAGACUCGAAAGAAAUUGUCACCUGGAACUAUUGCACAAUGACCAAAUCAGUAAUCUUAGAUUCUGCCUGAUCUAGUGAUCCUGCUCUAGUUUCGAAAAACGACCUAGGUUUGUGGGUUGGUUAUGACUGAUAUUGCUGUGGUCACUUGGAUGGAGGUUUUGUGGGCACCUGGUUGUUCAUGCAUGAUCUUUCCACCUCUGUAGCCGGUGGUUGGUCGGUAUACUGCUUAGACUACCCUUGUCUUGGGCUUUCAGAGUGGUUCGAUGCCUCGGUAGUUUUUGUUUGGUGGCUCCGUUGGUUGGUGCUUAUCUGGGACAUAACCAAUGGAUGCCAUCACCUCCAUUUCGCAAGUUUAACCUACCUCGUGAGGAAGAAGGAAAGAACUCUUCAUUCUUUUAACAGCAAAGAAGGAAAAGACUCUUUGUCGAGCCUUUUUGCAGGCCUGUGGAAAAAACUCUUGAAAUCUGAAAUCUGCGGGGUUCCUAGACUCCCGACCUGUGCUAGAGCCCAUGGACCUGUUCCUAAAGACCGCCGACGCUUCCGGCCUCGAAGAUAAUGCCAGCCCAGUAGAUGAGAACAUCUCGGUUCUCGACGAGGACGGGCUCAGCAGCUAGUCAGUCAGUCAACCCAUGUCCAAUGACUCCACUAUCCAGUUUCUUCGCUCAAAAAAAAAGAAAAAUCCAGUGUUUUCCUUCUUUUUUUCGGACGGAGGCAGCCCUAAAUCGCCCGAUGAUCAUGGACAUGCCGCCCGUACGUACUCUGGAGUAUGGUAAGUACACGCACUGUACAAUCGGUAAGGACAUACGGAUCGAACCGGUCGCCACGGACCGUGAGACAGCUCGUCAACGGCUCAGCGCUGCUGCUCUUGCAAGAAACAAUACGGCAGAGGAAGCAAUGCAAGCUUGACUGGCCCGGCCCCGGACCCUGGGAUCCGUCCAUGGCUGAACCUGGCAUGACAUGGAUGAUGGAUCUUUGCUUGCUCCCCAGCCAGAUAGCCAGGCCAAAUCUUCCAUCUUCAAUGGCACCGAUAUGAUCAAUGGAUAUACGAAGCACAUACAUAUCUUCUUUUUAAUAUUCUGGAGUACCGACUGUACAUCCUUUUCCACCUUCAUGUUAAACAAAACUAUACCUGACACAUUCAAACUGCCCAUGAAGGAAUAAUCAAAGAGGACAGAUGUCUUGAUGCUCUGAUGGCUGUCCAGUACCCAGUACCAGCACAGUUAUCAGUUGUUUGUUGGCAUUGAGCAUUUACCAUUUGUCGGUUCAUGGCACACAGGCUGCUGAACUAACGGGCAAAGUUUAAAAGCACGCAAGGCUUCCACAGCACCACAACACGACCAGUUCAAGGUUCACCGGUAAUUAUACUGAAUCUCUCCCGGACGCAUUGCUCCUUUCGAUGCGCCAUAGUGGCAUCCAAAGGAGAGAAAGUCGUCAAGAGAAAUAAUAAAAGCAAGGCACUAAGGCCCCCUUUGGUUAAGCCCAAGAGAGAGCAUACUCCAUGACCAGAAACAAGAGCCAAGUGAAUCAACCAUAUAGGUGAAAGGAGGAAGAGGGUGGUAGGCCACAGCCACAGGCGCACCAACAACAUGCCCAUGCUUCUCUUCAGAAGACUGGCACAGAAAGAGGGAGGGGAAAAAAAGCUCGAGAGAAAAACUAGGAAAGCAACACUGGGACCCCAUUCACAUGACACACGCUAAUCUAGGGCUAAGAAAAACUUGUGCAGAUGGUGUAUUACACUUGAAUGGAUCACUCAGUCAGGGUGUCUUCUGGUCACUGGCAGCUUGCGCUCCUGCCGGGGCCUCCAUAGUAGAAGUAUGAUCCCCAGUCGCCAUUGUUGCCGUUCUGCACGUCGUAGCAGUUCGACUGCUCGGUGAAUGUGCCCACCCCCUUGGGGGCCUUGAGGUUGUUGGUGUUGUCCACCACUUGUAUGUUUUUGAAGUAGCUCGACUUGCUGAACCCUUCCUCUGGGAAGUGCCCGCUACCCAUCUGUGUCGACGUGUGCACGCCGCCGGGCUGCGAGUUCACCACCUCCCCGCCCCACUCGAUCAUCGACGCACUGUCCGCGAGGUAGGAGAAGAGGAAGGACGGCCAGUAGCCGAGGACGUACUCCUUGCCAAACUGCAUCCACCAGUGCCCCUCUUUCGGGUCCUGCUCAACAUAACAUAAGCCUCAGAAAUCGUUUAGAUGACAUGCGGCAUUACAGUACCAGGCGUGUCAAUGCUACGCAAUCAUUAGCACCGACAUACCACAAACUAGACUUUGAGUAAAGGGGAACAAGGGUAGCCAGUUUAGCACCGAGAUGCCGACAUUCAUGUUGCACUAAGCACUUAAGCAGGCCUAUGUAUGCACUCAUCACCCGUGCUCAAUAGAAAUGAAAAACCACUUGACUUUCUAUCUCAAACUCUUGCUUGUUGAGGUAAAAAGGUAGCAAUGCUUCAUGAGACUUCUUUUGACAAACACAAGCUAGAGUAAUCAUCAAGGCUAAAAAAGGUUGUUGACAAAAGAUGUAUUAUAACCACAGGGUUAUGUGGGGGUACUAAAAUAAUUCCCCAGAGUUCAGUCAAGGUUUCAAGGAGCAAGAGUAAAGAAGAGCACAGGAGCAAGUUGGCAGAGACUCUCUGGCCUGCAUGUUUGUGUCAAAUUUCUCUGACCGUAAAAUAGGGCCUGGCAUGUGUCAUGUGUAGUGACUUGUAUCUACAUAGUCCUAGAUUACCUUCCAGAUGAGUAUGCUGAUGUCAUAUUGGGAUCCGGAGUAGCCUGAGAUGGGGAAGAUGCUGGCUCCCAUGGCGACCUCACUGUUGAUCUGAACGAACCCUGCACAUAGUAUGUUGUAGCACCCUGUUGCCUGGUACGCGUCGCUCUACACAAUGCAAAAGAAUUGCAUUUAGUGAACAUCAACACGUCAUAAACAAGCACAUCCCACCAAAUUGCAGGGGUUGAUUUUGCUUACUGUCCAGUAGGUGAACAGCCUUGUGUGGUUGUCCCCGUAGAGGUCCGGACUAACCUGACGAAUCAAAGAAGCAAAAAAGAAGUUCAGAGCUCGUGACACCAACCACAACACAGGAAGAGAGCUAUGCUUCUAUCAACCGCGAAAACGGUGCUGCAUUUACUCUCUACAUGAGCGAUGGAACUGGAGGCAAAGCUCAUGAAGCAGUUGUCUGUGUCUGGUUUACCUGCCAGCCAGCCUCGAUGCUGUUGAGGUCUUCGCCGAAUGUGCCACCCAAGAUCCACAGCUGGGACAGACUGAACUCGUUGGGCUGCUCUAUCUUGGGCUCCCACACGUUGAUCGUCGCCUUGGCGCCAUAGUACUUCUCGCCUUGCACGUACGAUAUCGCGUGCUGAAAACACAAAUUCCACGGCCGGUGAUUAUGGAUUAUACGGCAGGCAGGCUCAAUCAGGAACUCUGAAGAUAGCUAGAUGAGUACAAAUACAAUGUGGGAGGACGUACUUGAUGGCCACCCUCGUUGAGCAUGGAAAGAUCGACAGACAUGGGGUUCGCCACCGUGUGCCGCUUCCUGCCGUACCGCCGGAUCGAGCUCGCCCGGAGCAGGUCGUCCUUCUUGGUCCUCCGGACCGGCACGGUGCCUUCCGGGCACCUGCCCUUCUGGUGCCACAGCUGAACCAUAGGCCUCUCGCCGUCGCCGGAGGAGGCCACAUUGGCCUUGGAUUCGUCGAACAGGCCUUCCGGGUGGUAGUUCGGCCUCAUCUGGAGCAAGCCAAAAUGCUUUAGGAAUAAACCAUAAUCGAAACCAUGGCUUGUACUGACGCAGUUGGAGUCAAAUUUACCUGGAUAGUGUGGUUCUUGAGGAAAGGGUGGUCGAAAGCCGGCUGGUGUGAGAUGUGCACGCAGUCUAUGAUGUCCCCAUCAGGGCUCUGCUCCAUCGAUUCAGAAAACCAAAAUUAGCUGUGUUUGAGCAAGGAUUGGGAGAGAACAGUAUUGCAAAAAGACAGUAGUUUGGCAUCCACUGAAGACUAAGAAUUAGCACAAAAGUUAUGCAAUAAAGAAAUUCGUGCAAGAACAAACACAAAGUGCCACCAGGAGGGGGGAGUGGGGUAUCUUUCCUGUAAAAUUUACACUGGUAUGCUUAAUGUGGCCAAAAGAAAGAUGAGGACUUUUGCACGAAAUGGUAUAAAGACUAAAGAGAAAGAGCGAAUCUCCCCCCAAGAACAAACCACACAAAAAGCCCCGGAGAAAGGCCAUCCUUUUGAAUUAGAUUAGAACUUUAAGAGAUUAGCCAAGAAACUGCAGCUGCCAUCUCGCUCAAAUCCCUCCCAAAUGCAGCUCCUUACAAACGCUAGCUUCGACUGGGAAGGGAAGGAAUCCCCAUCGAGAAAAGCCAUUCAAAUCUUGAGAAGAAGAGCGACAGCAAGAAGACAAUCUCGAAGGGACCUACGCACCUCGAUGCUCUUGACCGCGGGCUUGUUGAGGCGCUUGAGGUGCCGGUGCAUCCUGGCUUCGGGCGACCUCGCCGCGGCGGCGCACGAGAGGCACAUCACUGCCGCCGCGGCCGCCGCCACCAUCAGGCGCGCGACGACACGCACACGCGCGGUGGCCAUGGGCGGCGCUCCGCUCCUCCGCCGCCUCCCCUGCCCCCUCUCGCUCCCGGCUCCGGCUAAAACUCUGAAGACAGAAAAUCCCUUCUCUCUCUACCAAAGACGACCCACGCCGCCGGGGACCGCCGCCGCCGCAAGGCCGGCUCCGAGGGCCUGCCUGCGAAUUUCGAAACAAUGCGGGGGGUGGGGAUGGGAUGGGAUCAGCAGUGGCACGCUCUCUCGCCGCUUCUUGGGCGCCUCGCCGUCUCGGGUUGGGAGGGAUGGGGAGCGGCCGCUAGCGCCUAGUGGUAGUAGUGGGCAGUGUAGGGAGACCCGGCUGUACUAGUUGGUGGCAAGAGAGAGGGCUAGAGGAGCACUCUCGCUCGCACGCUGCAACUUUUGCCGUUUUCCGAGCUUUAACUUCCCUGUAUUCCUGGACCGAAAUGCCCCUUCCUGGUUCGAAAAUUACUUGGGGGCACCCGGAGUACAACAUGGCGGUCUCGGUGAGACUAGGGCUACUCUGAUUCAAAUAAAUAUUCACUCCGUCUCGAAAUAAUUGACUUGAAUUAUUUUGAAUUCUUAUACAAAUUCACGUCAUUUAUUUUAGGACGAAGAAAGUACAUAAGAAUUUUGAAGGAUUUAAAUUCUAAAGACCAUUUUCUUUGCUGGUCGUUUCAUGCACAGUGCUAGAAUCGUUGAGAAUUUUUUUAUGGAUCUUUUGCACUCUAUUUUUGAAGGAAAUCUCCAUUCAAACUUCUAUGUUAGAAUUCAUUUGUUUUUUUGUUCUUAUCCUAAAAGAAGGAAAUUCAUUUGUUUUUUUGUGGUGUGUUAAACAUUCCUUGGAUACUAAUUCUGUACUUUUCAAUCUUAUAGGAUUAUCUUCGAAUGAUUCUUAAGAAAAAUAUGCAACAUUGAUGCUCCCUCCAUUCCAAAAUAUACAUUUCAUAAGUUGACUGUCAGAUUUUCAAAAGUUUAACCAAGCUUAUAGCAAAAAAUAUUCAGUGUCAAACCAAGAUAGUAUGCAAAUAUAUUUCACAAUUGAUAUUAUGAUCUUGAUCCAACACUGCAUGUGUUGGUAUUUUUGUUAUAAGACUGACCAAAUUUAAGACAAUCAACAAAAGUUGUACGUCUUAUUUUUAUAAUGGAGAGAGCAGAUGCUAAGAUUGGCUUAUUCUAAAAGCUAGUCACUCCUUGUAGGAUUAUAAGACUUUGUUCUGAAAAUCUUCUUACAAAGACAAGAAUAAAUAAAUAAAUGAUACAACCUAACACAUGUAUAGUAAGAAAUUUUAAGCUAAGCCAACGUGAUUACUUGUACUGUCUGAUCAUCUUGUGACUUGACAAUAGUUCACUGAGAUGAUACCAAAAAUCAUGAUCAACCAGCACCGGGAGAAAAAUAGCUUUGACAUCCGUACGGCUUACAGGGUUUGGUGGCGCGCAGUCAAAUUAAUCCUUCCCUACCAACACCCGGCGAAACGAACUCGGGGUUAUAAAACCCGAACAUGCUCUUUGUUUCUCGGACGGGUGCCGUCGUCGUCCUCCGUUCACGCCUUGGACGUGCGUUACGUGCAUACAGGCCCGGGCCAACCCAAACGGCUUUAUCCCGUUCUCCCCGGGAGCCCGAAGCGUGCGUGUGCUUGCAUGGCCCCGUUGGUAAUUUCGCUCCAGUCCAGUCCACCGGCUGGCUGUGGGCCAGCAGUCAGCAGUCAGCAGGCCCCACCCACAGUGGGGAAUCGGCCGCGCCACCUACCUCGGGUCCCCGUUUGCGUUUCCCCACGGGUCGCUGGAGAGUGGGGGCCGGAACACGUCGGACCCACAUGGCGUUGGUGGCUUCCGGCGCGUGCGGCCGCGGCCCAUGUCCGGCACAGUGCGUUCGCAUCGGAUCCGGACGCAACGCACCGUCAAAACUGAGACGACCGGGUCUCGGACUCUCGUUGGUGAGGGGAAGAGAAGAGUGAUUAAGUAGCGCUGGUGCUUUCACUUUUACUUGCUUGCACGGGAGCUGCAAGAAAAGAAGAAGACCUACGGACAAAGUACAGGCCAUGGCUAAUUUUAUGCAUGUUUGCAGUAGUACGAGCACCGUCGUACUAAUAAUAAUUCUUUAACGACUAAUCAUGGCAUCUAGGCAUGCAUGCAGGCAAGCACACGGCGGCCGCUGCAAAACUGCGUGGCAUGUUUUCGAACCAAUAGGAUCGUACGAGUUGCCUACCGACUACCAAGAAACUAGUACUAACAAACCCAUACACCUGCAAUUUUAAUCUUGUGGCCGACGCCUGCAAGAAUCGGCGCCAAAUGGUCAAAGUUCGUGCAGAGAACAAAAUGUUGCCCCUACACUGGCAGCACAAAAGCCUCUACGAAUAUUUAACUGCGCUUUGUUCCAGACACUUGUUUGGGAUGUUUCGCACUUUGGUACUAGCACCAGUAUCACUCCCAGACAGUGCAAAUCAGAGGCCAGUCAGCAGCAGCAACGACAAUAAUAAGUAUUCCUCCUGGUAAAACCUGGUACCACUGCUAUACUAAUUAAAACGUAAACAACCCCUGGUAAACCCCUGCGACCGAUAAUUAUAGUGCCUAUGCAUGCACAGCUGCCGGGUUUGGUUUGGUUCGCGCGAUGCUGAAGCAGCAGCUAGCAGCGUCAACACAUCGUCAAAGCAGCCCUGACCAUGCAGUACCGCAGUGCGAGUAGUAAAAUGCUACGAUUGCCCGGAUCUUACAGUCUCGGUAAGAGGGUGAAAAUAACGUGCUAAAUAGAAGGCUACAAAAUUAAUCCAGGAACAGUACGUGUGGUCCUUGCCUGACCGAUGGGCCCACAUGGCAGGAAGAGUAUUGGGUCAGGUCAAGGCCGGAUGUAUCAGGCUCACAAGACCGGUUGUACCCUCAGUGAUGGAAUGGUGCAGGCGUGCAUCACCAGAAGCGGUGAAAAAGUUUUCACUCUAUCGCUGGGCUGCAUUUAAGGUUCUUCAUUUUCUUUUUCACUCUUCUGAGGUAAUGUCUUGAUAUUUGAUAAGCUGAACACUCUAUCUAGCUAGUAUGACCACUUAAUUAAUAAGCCGGAUGCAUUAUUUCGGUACACUAGCACUAGCAUGUGCUUGAUGUACAAGCUGAAGCUUAAGUAAAACGGAAGCAUAUGGCAAGCAGAAGGAAUCCAUCCUGACGAGGCAGAAAGCCAUCCGUUUUGCUUUAGCUCCUGGCGCUUUUCAUGCACAAACACUUGAAAGACACCUUUCUUUCCUAUACUUACUUUCAUGCCUCUAUUAUUUAGUUAGCACUUCUCAACAAGAAAAAAGUGGUCACCAAAAGCUAGCGGUACUCUACGCAAAUGGUCACUUCCCAGCCGUAUAAGAGCCGAAUCAUUGCACUACCUCACUCACUUUAGUAUGCAGCUUGUGUGGCGCAAAAUUGGAACAAAGUUCAACACAAGCUCUAAGAUGGGGUGAUUUGUAUAUCCAUGCAUGGACAUAAAAUUUGUCAGGUCAUGGCAUGGAGACAGGAAGCUAGUAUGUAUUACACGUCAGCUUAAUUAGCCUGUGACGUGCUGACAUGCCUGGGAAUGGCGAUCAGGCGAUGGGCAUUGGGACCCAAGGUAGAGAACAGAAGAGGGGUCAUUGGCACAAUUCAAAGCCGUUCUUGGUCACAUGGUGUGCUCCUUUAGCGAGCAAAGCUGGCAGGCUUUGUCCAGUUGCGCUAGCUGAAGCCGCUAAACAGUAAACAUACAGUGCAACCCUUUCUCAGUCUUGCUAUCACCAUUAAAUUUAUGGUCAGGAUCUCAAACUCCCUGCAGCACACCCAAUUAAUUAGGGCAGAGUGCAUGGAUGGAUGGAUGCAUAUAUGCUUGGCCGUAAGGACUCUAUAAUUAAACUAGUGGUACAGGAAUAUAAUCUGGCAAAGAAAGAUGGCCAUAUGCACUUUGGGCUCUUGAUGGUGUGCUAACCAGCUAAAGUUUGCCUGUACUGACAGAGAUGUGUCGUCCCAUGCAGAUCACUGUCGACUCGCAAGCCUUGUAGAGUCGGCCUCGUUGAAUUAACUCUGAUCAUUCUCAAUUCAUCAUUCUCGCCACCGGCCAACCUUGAAAAAUCAGACCACCUGUAUCAACAACAUGCAUUGGUGCACGGUCUACUGUAAACCCUACAGCUACGGUUUAGAUAAGUAUGCAUCUUCCCCUGAGCGUGAGAGCGUCCACAUCCAGGGGAUUGCAUGGCCUAGCCAAGGAGCCACUAGAGAAACCACCAUACAAGCGGCCCGUGAGCUAUAUAUACAGGCUCAUUUAUCUGACAGAUUUCUUGUGUGUGCGUUUGAGAUGCCAAAUGAGAUCGAUGUCUCACCAAAAUGAGACUAGACCUUGCCUUAGCAUGUACAGUACAAGACACAUGAAUAAUUUGGUGGUACGUGUUGGGCAAAUGGACAUGGGUACGUGAUGGGUCCGGUCAAUCACAAAGUGUCGCAUGCAUAUGUAUGUUCACCAGAAAAUUUUACCUGGAUUUUGUCCUCCCCUGUGCCUCCUAUGAGUACAACGUUUACUGAAGAAUAUAUACCAGGCUAUUAGCUAUAUGCUCUACUUUCUACUCGAACACGGUGAGAUUCUAGACCUUAGCUAGGCCCUCUUCUCAUCUCAGUAUUCUCCAGGCUUAGAAUACAGGGCUCAAAGAGAUGUACUACUUAACCACAUUUAGGAUGAAUCAUAAAUUGUAAAAGAUCAAAGGACAGAAAGACAGAGGCUACAUUUGACAGAUACUCCUAUAUCGCUUGCCCGUGAAGCGAUUACGAAUUGCCUAGGAGGCUACGAGCCCAGCCCUUUUACAAGUGCUCCUCCUCCUCUUACGUUCCAGAUGAGAGAUUAAUGGCUAUUGCCGCAAGAUAUAUAGGAAGUGCCCAAGGCCUAGCACACACGCGCAAUAAUGGAGGACCCAUGGCUAAAAAGCUGGAUCAGUGUUAGUACCAUGGUACUAGAUAGCUGCUUUUUUAUGGUAACCGGAGGCCCAUGGGACCCUUAUGUGCUCACGGUCCAUGAGGCCAGUCCUCGCAUGUGCCGAGGUCACAAUUCCACAUACUCAAUGAGGGACUCUUCAUCUAAUCCAUUUGAUCAAUGAUAGUAAUAUCGAAAGCUACAGUUUAACUGUAGCGAAUUGUUUGUUUGGCCAGAUUGACCUGUCGUCGAUUUAAAAUCUAGAUGUGGUUAUGGAUAUAAUGCAUAGAUGGAAAGGCAAUCUUCAGCUACCUUCCUGUUGGAUACUCUUUUUAAGAUAAUGGUAGAUGUACACGCAUUGACGUGAAAACGUACCAACAGAUACAGAAGAAUUUUAUAGACCUACGGUCAUACACCCUGUAUAGAGAUGUGGAAAAUAUGUGCUGGAGUACAUUCAGUCUGGCGUACCUUAAUGAAUCUGAAAGAAGUCUGGAGUAUAUUCAGUCUCUCGACUUUUCAAGGCUGGAAGCCAAGAGAAAGCUGGGACUUCCAAUGACAAUAGAGCUGACAAGAGGAAAGGAGACAGUAAAAUUUAGGUGUCCAUGGUAACCAGAGCAGAAGCACAGAAAACACAUGCAAUGGCUCAGCAUAAAAUCCCCAUACCCCCUAUCCCGUACUUAUCCUCUGACCAGGGAUAUUAAAAAAUUUAUUAACAACGAAACAGAUCAUUAACGCAUAUACAUAAUUGGACGACCACAUAUGAUGCCAAAAGACAGAAAGCAUAAUCAUUACAUAAUUAGUGCUUCUGACCAAAACCCACUGCUCUGAUUACCUGAAAGAAGCAUGACAAAAGUGCUAUGCUCUCAGAUAUUCUCCUCGCCUUCACAUCCUGAAGAAAAAAAGGUUCCAGAGUUGUACAAGCAUAUCGCCGGUUUCUUACCAACACAGAUAGAGACGGGAUUACAAAAAGCAUCCCACGGAGAUUGAUUUUGCUCAGGACUCAGGAGUCGACAUGGCAGAGUGCAAAGCUGUAAUCCAUCCUAUACACCGUGGUAGACUUUACAAUUUCCUUGUACUAUGCAGGGGCAUCCUAUACACCGUUGUACUUACAAAGAAGAAUGAAGUGCCGUCCCUUAUGAACUAGCAUAGUAUGACCUUAUUAUUUCCACAAAUGAAGGCAAACAUCUUCAAUUCACUUUCAAGUACACAGGUGACAUUUCAUCAACACCACUCCGUGACGAGUUCCAUUUAUAUCAUAUAUGUAACAUUAUAUACUUACAAUAUGAAUCAAAUUUUCAUCUCCCAGAUAUCCGUUUUCCAGAGCUCCCAACCCACUAACUUAUUUACAAUGAAGAUCUCGGCAAUGUUAGGUCCUGAAGACUAAGAGAUAGAAGGGCAAAUGGUUUUGACAUUUUGUGUGAGGUAUCACAACCUCACAGGCAAGUGUUCAAUCUCUGAAAUUGAAGACCCAAGCUCUCUCUCUUUCAGAGCCUUAUUCCUAAGCAACCUGAAACAGACACAAGUUAGAGAUGGAUGGAGUAACCUAGAAGUAAGAUUCUCCAAUCAUAAGUUCUUAUCCUAAGAAAUGCAAUGCACUUUUUACUAUCAAGCAUACAUGCCCCAUCGCCAUGGUAAAGAAGGAAAAGAAUCAGAAAGUCAGCAGAAGAGGAUCUAUUCUACUGACAGAAAUUUUAACUCUGCUAAUAACUUUUCAUAUUUUUCUGUCACAAAGUGUUGUUUUCGUAGAUUAAUUUCACUAAAAAGGAUGGUAGCCUAUUCAGUCAGUGUACACAUUAACUUUAAAGAUGACCAUAGCAAAAGAAAUUAUAAAGAUGAACAAGUACUCCCAUAAAAUAUCCUCUUGACACGUAAGUAACUUAUACAGUCAACAAAUCUAGGGUCAACACAUAGAAGUCUUUAUGUGUCACCACUAUCUAUUUUUUAGAAGUUAGAAAACCACUCACGUUAUUACAGUUAGAUGAUAUCAUCUGGUUAAUAUGGUAAACCCAUCGGAAACAUGCUUCUUCUCUAAGACUAAGGCCUUGUUUUUGGGAAUUAGAGCACAAAAGGUCGUUGAGGGAAAUGAAUCUAAAGUUUCAGCACACUGACCACGCAAGACACAACAUAUCAUCAUCAAUGAAGGUUGAAGCGACAAUCAGUUAUCAAUAUGUGCACAAUAGUUUGAGAACUAUUGUCCUUCUCAUCAUCAUGUUCCUCAGUGUUGUCAAAAGUUCAUUCCUCCAUCUAUCAUGGUCAGUAAUUUGCUCUGUCAGAACAUAGACAUCAAAAACCCAACCAGCAUGCUAAAUAUCAUUAUAAAACUGGUCUUCAACGCCCCUGGUGUUAAUUUUCUGUUUAUAUCAGGAAUUCACGACAUCAAAAGGAUCUAAACAUAAGAGCAUGAUAUGGACUGCCAUCCAAGGAUGCAACAAUAGCUCUAAUGAGAACAUAGCAAGUAUAGUAUGAACAGUGCAUAGUAUGUGUUGUAUGCCUGAGUUCUCUCUAUAUUUAACAAUUUUAUCGGCAAGCUUAAGAUUUUGGAAAAGUCAACAUGCCACGUUACAAUUAAGAGUAACUUCAGAGUCACCUUGUCCCCUCAAACUACAAGGUUUGCCAGAAACCUACUCUCAAAUACAACCCCAAACGGGCAACUAAACCACUAGGUCCUUUAAUGAUGUCCAUGGAAUCUUUUUUAUCAUACAAAUUAACUAGAAGAGGUGUGCAACUCAGUUACACCCACACUUAACUCUAAAUAUAGUGAAGAUCUAUAUAGAGAGAACAUCGAAUGUGCACAAUAAUGACAACAUUAGCACAAGCCUUAAGAUCAUCUUCCCAUAUCUUUUUAAAGUGGCCACCAGGAAAAUAGAACUGUUGAGAAGGAGCUCCACCAGAACAAUUGGAUUCGUGCACACCAGUGUCACUCUGGGAAAUGGUGCAAUGACUUUGUUUUGGCACGAUAGCCAGCACUGUAGCACAGGCCUUAAGACAGUCUUCCCAAAUCUUUUCAAAGCGGACACCAGGAAAAAUAGAACUGUUCAGAAGGAGCUCACACGUUGGUAUCUCCACAGGAUAAAUUGAAUUAGCCACCCUCACAGAGAUCAUCAACGGUAAUUCAGCCGCAGCCUCAAUCUCCUGAUGACAUCUUCUCAAGGUGGACAGAAAAUGGGAGUACAAGGCGUGUUUGCUUGCCUACCAGGCACAGUUUACCGGCUCCAAGAUUUGGAGGGUUCAUGCAGAGACAAAAUGUCGGUUCUUUCCUUGGUCCAUGCUCCACAAACCUUACGGCAGAUAACCUUGCAGCAAGAGGACGGGGUAUGGCCUCCAUGUGCUUUGCAAUUAGGUGCCAGAGAGUGCUGAGUGUUGACUACCAAUGCAGAAAUUGCCAUUAUACAAAGAUUUGGGAGAUGGUUCGGCUCUGGAAUGGCAAUUUUCCAUCCAGAAUUCACGCUGCUUCAUCGGUUGAUGAAUGGUGAAACGCUGAUAGGUGACAAUUAGUAGUGACAGGAAGCCUUGCUGAACGGCAGAGCUCCUCCCAUUUUCCUCACAGGUCAAGUAAGCGUGAAUGUAACAUAUGAUGCUCUAUAUGAUCCAGACAUAUUAACGGUUAGCAUAACCUAAAUCAUAGCGGCUUAUAAUCUAUACUGCCGAUUGCCAACUGUGCUUGAACAGUGAUUCCUAUAACCUUAGGACAAUCAUUUUGAUGUGGUUCAAUUCAAGUGGACGGCCUUAUGAAAACCCAUCAGGUUUGGGUAUUCAGACAGCUGAACCUGAAUUUGUGCCAGCUGUAGGAGAGCUAGUGCUACGGAUUAACCAGAGUUCAGACGUGCACAAACCCAUUCCACGCAGUAGGAUCACAAAGCUAAAUUACUAUACUAGUACUAUGUGAUUUAAGCAGUCGGAGACGAAACGGAAAUGGCUGAGUGAGCAAGCGGCAUACCUCAAUCGUCGUGAGGAUUGAUAUGAUCCCCAUCCUCGAUGUCAACAUAGUCGUCGUUGUCGUCGUCAUCCUCAUCUGAAGACGAUGAUGAUGAGGAAGAGGAGGAGAAGGAGGAACGGGAGUGCCGAGCUAGCAUGAGGUCCGGGGGCGGGAGCAGGAGGAGGCGCUGGCGGCGGCGAGGGUUGGCGAAGCGGAGAGGGGAGGCGUGGGCGGGGAUGAAGGGGACGCAGAGGAAGGCGGCGAGGCGGGCGAGGAGGUGGAGCGGCCCGCAGCAGAGGAGCGCGAGGACGCGGUCGGGCGGGAGCGUCUCCGGGUUGCACGCCACACGCUGCCACCCCUCCGCCGACGCCCGCGCCACCGCCACCACCCACCCCGCCCGCACCGUCAUUCCUCAGCCGCUUUUUAACCGGCGCCGAUGACGAAUCCCCCACACCCACCCACUCCAAUCCCCAACGCGCCGGAAUGGCGUGCGGCGCACGGUGGGGAGGAGGUAGCGAUUCGAGGCGCGCACGGCACGACCGCCCGCGCGCGUGCGUGGGGGGUUCUCUGCCUCGCUCCGCCCUGCCGCCGUGUGGAUCUCGCCGGCCGGCUCGGAUUUGCCGCUGCUUCUGCCGCCGGGGCAGCGUUUUGGGUUGUUCAAUCGAUUACGGUUGCUGGCGGGGCUGGGGAAUCUGUUGGGCUUUUAUAGCUAAGCUUUAUCUACUCAGAUGCGUACGUGGACUGUAGUGGCUGACUCGACGUGGAGCCCACUCGUCAGUGAUAAAUUUGCUGUUGCGCCUAAAGUUUCUCAGCGAGACACCUUUGAGAUAUUUGAAAAAAACAAGUCAUACAGCAUAGUUUGCAGCAGAAAAAGUAGCGCAGACGAGUCGGACCAACGCUUGAACACAACGCAACUACCUAGCAGUAGCAUGUAAACAUGUAUAAUGAUGGAUAACAUGGCAGAAACAAGGAAUACAGCUGGUUGCCUGGUUAAAGCACAAGUGUUUUGGGCCUCAUAACAAUGUCAGGAUCAUGGAAUAGAAAGGUUGCUACCGAAAGGUAAAGAAAAUAGCAUGGAAAAGCCAGAACGCCUACAGGUGAGGGCCAAUCCUGAAUAUUGAACAUUGAAAAACAGAGCUUUCGGUAUGGAACAGGAACUGUAUCAUCCACAGCAUUUUAUUUCAUGCAUUGUGAUGUGACGAUUAAUGUAAAAAAAAUAGCGACCUCUGUCGAGCACAAAAAAAAAAGGCUUCAUGGAAGAGUUCUCUCGUAAAGGGGGAGGGCUCCCAGUGCUUCACGCUCCGCUGCCUCCUUUUUCACCUGCAACAGAAGUCAAAUUAAACAUGAUGAAAAUAUCAAAAGUAGCAUCACAGCAUAAAAUCAGACAACCAAUUUGAGGCAGGAAUUUGUUCGGUAGUGGCAUCAGACUUGGAAGGAAAUACUUCUAUUUAUUAGUGAUUACUAAGGCAUAUACAAUUACCGAGGGAGUAAGAAGAAUACUAGACUAGACAGUCACAUCUUACAUAGUCUAAGAAUUUGCACAGUGGCUCAUCUUGUACUAAUUUCAUGAAACAGUAGCAAUAAUAGUAAUGAACUAAUGACCGCUGCUCAACCGGCAAAUAACCAAGAACGGCAAGUGGCGAGAUCAAUGACAAUGUUCAUGCUGUCAUGAAUCCUUAAGAUCAUGGUCAAAGUAAAGGAUGUACAUCUACACAGGACAACUUUCGGGUAGCAUAGCUUCAAGAGAAACUUGAUCAAACUGUUUUACAUGAACUUAUAGGGUGUUUGCUUUGAGCAAUCACCUCAUUAUAUCAUUAGUGGAAUGACCCCAUGUCCCCACCCUUUAGUUUGUACUCCCUCCGUCCCAUAUUAAGUGCCGAAAUAUUACAUGCAUCUAGACGUAUUUUAGUAUAUAGAUACAUCCAAAUUUAGAAAAAAUUGAGUCACUUCAUCAAAAGAAACACCCCACUUGAGGCAGAACCUCUAUAUUGUAUGUUUGUCCUGUACAUAUGAUAUCAUAACCAAGAUAGAAGUGCAUUGGGAUUUCAAAUUAGCAUAAUGUAGAAAUGUAAAGUGUGACUGUUUAUGCAAAUAACAAGUGAAAUGACAAAAGGGCGAGCAUCAGCAGAUGGUCAGGUACACUUACCAGAGCUAGCAUGUCAGUCAAAUAGCUUCUGAAUGGUGUCUGCAGUGCCUGUACAAAGAAAGUAAAUGUUUCAGAAGCCUGUGCUUAUCAGAGAAAGAGGUUUCAACGAAUAUUAGUUUGUAAAACAUGUUUCUUAUACAUUGACAUUUCAUAGGUUUAAUGUAUUAAUGGCUUCAGAAAAAAAGGAACUCUGGAACAUCUACAGGACCGACAGAGAAAGAAGGCCAAGCAUUCAUCUAAUCUAAAAUAAGAGCAAAGCUAUCCAGGAAAGCAAGGAUAAAAAUGCAGUACAUCGCAAAAAUGCAGCACAUGGACAUCCAGAAAAAAGAACUCCUAACAGGCUAACACAGAUGCAAACCACAAGUGGAAAAUGACAAGAAACGACAAAUAGGAUCGUCAACAAGAAUGCCUGCAACAAUCUGACCCACCAGCAUGAGGGAAUAUCCUGUAAGAAGCCUACACAGGGAUAUUUCAAAAGGCUUAUCAAACCUAGUCAACCAUAUUUUCGUUAGACAUCUUAGAAGUUCUACCAAUCCUAACAAUCACUAUUCUCAUUCAAAUGUGAAUUGCCAAUUUGCCGGAAACCACUUCUCUCAUCCAACGUUGUUCAAAUCUCCAGCAUAGGUAGAUGGGUUUCUUAGGCAGCCAACAACAUUAAAAUGUACUCCCUCUGUCCCGUAAUUCUUGUCGAAAUAUUACAUGUAUCUAGACAUUUUUUAGGAAUAGAUACAUCCAUAUUUGAGCAAAUUUGAGACAAGAAUUAUGGGACGAGGGAGUAAUAUAUAUACGCUGAAAGGGUGCUCGCCCUUUUUGUUCCACAUUCAUUUCACUCGACUAGCAAUCAUCAACGAUAUAACAGAGACACGGUGCAUCUACUGCAGGGGCUCUCAAAAACACAACCUACACGGAUAGAACUGUAGAACUACGAUAAAAAUAGAAAUAGAAGGGUAGAACUCGUCAUACAAAUCCAUACACCAUCAGCACGAGAACCGCGACCCCCCAUUACACAGAUCGCACGCGCACGGAUCGAGAGAUGCAUCACAGAUCAGGGCAGGACCGGACCUGGAGGUCGUCGGGGAGGUACUGGUGCUUCAUGGAGAGGUCCAUGGCGCGCUUGAGGCGCUGGUGGCGGGCGUCGACAACCUCCCUGGGCAGCCUCCCGAGCGCCUCCUUGAUGUCCAGCUCAAAGUACGGGUCGUACAGAUCGUCGUACCGCAGCCCUUGAAAAUCAUCAUCAUCACACAAACCACAGGCAUAUCAUCUGUCAUUCCGCACAAAUACCGGCCCAGAUCGGCAAUAACACGAACGGAAAAUCGGAUCCGAGGGGAGGGGAGGGUUGGGGUCACCUACCGAAUUUCGUGAGGCGGGAGGCGACGGUGUACUUGUGGAGGCGCGCGAGCGGGUUGCGGCGCGGGUUCACGAACCACUGCGAGAACGCGGACAGCAUCGACGACAUCGUGGGCGGCGGCGGCGGCGUCGAUGGGCGAUCCCGGUCGUCUUCUUCUCUUUGCCUUUUGAUUCGUGUUUGUGUGCGAGAAGAAGAGGGGGCGGAGGUUGUUGUUUCCGUCUUGGGCCGGCGAUGGAGAGGGGCGCUUCAGAAAUAGAAAUGGGCUGAGAAGAAAGAGUAGGGCCUGCCAGUUCCUUUUCUUUUAAAAAAAACGUUUGUUCUUUUCAAGAGAAAUCAUUUACAAUUCUAAAGUUCCCUGAAAAAAUUACGACUAUAAAUUCACUAAAAAAAUAAUUUACAAUUCUAAGGCACUUAAUAUAGGACGGAGGGAGUAUUAAAUUUGAAAUAGAUUAAAAGGAUUAUUACGAUUAUCUUGACUUCUAAAUAGAGCAAAAUUACAACGGGCCAUGGAGGUUCUCAAACUUGUUUUUGCUGUGUUCUUUAGGUUUUAAAAAUCUUUGUUCUUGUACCUUCUCAGAUACUGUAGGAAAUCUCAGUCCAUUAGCUAGCUUUAGAUAGUAUAUUAAUUUAGAAAAAAAGGGCAAGAACCACUGCACCGUUUAAUCAAUUAUUGUCAUCGAUCUCUCUUUUGUACAAAUUCUUAAACACCAUUAUAUGUACUCCAAGAUGGAUACUGGAAAAAGAUUUGCAGGCACACAUAAUACAAAUACAAACACUUAAAUCGGCCUGUUAUAAAAAUGGGGCAAGAAAGGGAGAAAAAAAAACACAAUAUCAAACUCCAUCCUAUUAGGUAAGGCAUCAAGAGCUUCUAUAUACAGAUACAUCAGCUCAACCUCACUCACAUCAACCAAAGGCGACAGUUCAGCCUCACUCACAAAGUCACAAGAUUCACACACACAAGGAAAGCAUCUACGCAUCUGCCUCUCUUUUUGUCUCGUCCUUUUCUUGACGCCAUUGCCAUGGAAAACCAUGUGGUUCUAUACAUAAGAUAAUUGCCGACUCGAACGCGAAAAUCACACACCGUCAUGGCUGCCAUCCAAUCCUUGCAAGAAGCCUAGAGCUUCAGCUUCACCAUGGCCGGGUGAUGGUGCGAGUCGACCAGGAUGGACCACAGGACAUGUACAUCUUCGUCCUGGCAAGACUUGACAUCUUUGUACAGGAUGCGCAUCCCCCUCCCUGCCAAGGAGAACACCAAGCACAACAAUGUCAGCAGUGCCUAACAAUGCUACAAGAAAGAGAAACAAAGCCCAUUCCUUUUCUGUAUACAAUGCUACAAAAAAGUAAUGGUCUGCACAACAACACCAAGAAUAAGAGUAAAUGAGUAAUCGAUAGAUCUUACGGUUUCUCCGUGCAGAAUGUGCCCGGACCAAGAGCUUCCUCACAGGAGAGAAGAGGGAGUGGAGCCACCCCAUGAGGAAGCCUUGAUGAGAGCCUGAGGUUAUGGCCUCAUGGGGAGGGGUGAAAUGAGGGAACAGAGGCUGCAAGGCAUGAAGAAGGAGGAGAAAAUAAAAAGGGUGGGUUAGAGAGGAAGUAACCAUCACGUUUUGCUUUUUGGCACGAGGUGAAGUUUAGUGCACUGUACCCUUCUCCUCCUGACACAUUAUGCUUCCUUGCAACCCAAUCAUGGUACUUUUCAGCGAUUCGUUCUGGUAUCUCGUCCCUUUCCACUUCUUACUCUUCCUACCGCCUGCCUUCGCUGUUAGAAAAGGCCAUGUCUAGCCCCACACCUAACCAUAGAGAAUAAUAAUAUGCUGCCAAUUUUAAAAUCCUAACCCCAGAUUUGAGGAGCCUUUCGUUGAUUUUGUUUUACUUGAAGUUGCUGUUGUACCUGUGCUUUAUAACAUACUGCCUGGUUGCUCCUCUUUUUCAAGGAAAUCAAAACAGCUUGAUUACAACCUUCCUGAUUGGAUGUAUCAUGUACAUACAUAAUUAGUAUUUCAACAAAAUAUUACAGUUUGCUAGAAAUAUAAGAAGCUGGUUACUUGAAUUAAUAAAAUGGGACAGCAGAGGGACUACAGAGGUUUGCUUGGAUAUUAAAUGUUCUUGGCUUACAUGAAAAAUAUUUGCUGCUUUUGGAAGGUGCAGGACUAUGAACAAUCAAACAUUAUUUUGUCUACUUUUAGCAGUAUCAGACCUACCAUCUAGGAUUUUACAGCUUAAUUUACAAAAAUACCACAAUAUGCAAGUAACUUGCAAAUCACUUUUGUAUUAAUAAGUAAUCCUGUAUUAAACUUGUCAUUGAGUUUUUGAAUAAAUUAUCAUACUAUGACUAAUAGGCAUACCUUUUCGCUACUGUGUCAUGUGUUGCUGGUAUGCUGCCCUUGUCAAUAUACAUAGACAAAACUUGACCAAGACUUGAUAUCUUUAAGAUUCAAAAUAUUAAAUGGGACAUUUUACAGAUCGCUGCUUAGCAGAGUGGGGAGUAACAUGUGAUAAAAUGGAAGAGUAAAUAGCUUUACCUUUACAGAAGCUUGUGCAGGAAUAGCAAGGUCCUUUGUUCUCAGUGCGGCACUGUGGGUUCAUCCAUCCAUUGCCAUGUCAUAGGAUUUUAUUUUUAAGGCUAUACUCUCAAUAAUUGAGACUUCACAUCAAUUUAUCUAGUAAGUACAAUGGAGUAAACCUGUUGAUGCUGUGUUAUUCUUACGAGCUCAAUCCAACAUUCAUCCCGACUUACCAGACCAAGCUUAACAAGACGAUAUUGUGAUCUGAACAUGGACAUCAUAAUGGUAACAGCAUCCAACUACACAAGACUUGCUCAUUUCACUGCAGCAAUAUGGCACCAAAAUUCAAACCCACGCUGUUAGUCUCAAGGAAUCCUGUUGUCAGAUCCCAACAUUUGCCAUAUAGCUUGUUUUCAUACACUAGUUACAACUCAUUGGUAUUUAAUAAGUGUGCUGCACAUGACAUGCAUAGCCUGGCCUGAUUGACCUGAUUAGAGCUGCAAGUUUGUGACCCUCAGGGUACCCUUUGACCCUGCUUAGUUCAACCAAAUGAACUAAAGUUUGAAAAUGACACAACUUUUUGAAAAACUAGGGUCAAAGGGUACCCUGAGGGUCACCAUGUUGCACCCUUAGACCUGAUGAUCAACAACUACAACUAAAGCUAGUGCACAGUGCAAAACCCUGGUAAUCCUGGUCCAGCCCAUUUUGCACUCAACCAAAACGUUGUUGCAACUUUGAUUAGUACGAUUUGAUGUAUGACUUCAGCAAAUCCAAUACUGUCGAGAAUAUCAAAUGGAUAUUAUCUUCAGUUGAGACAGCAAAUAGCAUGUGUAAAAUUCAACCAGUAUGGUCGUAAAGUGUUAAGUUUCUUUUCUAAAUGCACACAGUAUGGUUGCGAAGUGAUCAGUAUUGUUUUCUCUAGGCGAAACAACUAUCAGCUACUCCGUACUUCAUUGCACCAAAAAUCACAUAAUCACUUUUCCCAUGUCAGUAUCAGGACACACUAAAAUUUCUUUGGUACUUCAAUCCUCCCUUCAUACAGCCAUGCCUCACUGACUAAGAAAAGUAGGAAUAGUUUCUAGCUAAAAACUAGCACUGCAAUCAGGUAGUCCUCCUGAUAGAAAAAUAAUCCCCUAAGGUAUCAAUCAAUAAACAUUCAGAAAAUAACAACCAUUGGUUCAGAGGUUCUUCUCAAAUGUCACUAUCCAGGGAAGCCAUAUACUUUGUCUGCAUUCACCACAAAUGCAAGCUUUUAUAAAGCUUGAAAUAUAUCUGCAAUUAACCAAGUUGUAGCUACAAUAAAUUCUGGAUGAAUGGACAGGUAACUAACACACAACAGACAACACCCUGUGUCUAAAAGAAACAAAUGGUCUGCGAGCUAAUAUGAGACCAAAACUGUCUGCAUUGAAUGGUUUCAGUGCUGGUUAGAUAAAUUUCAUUGUGAAGGCUCUGUUUGAAUUUAGAAGACUAAAUUGAUGAAUUUAAGAUUGUUUCCAAGAGAUAAAUCAAGCUAGCCAUAAUUCAUGUUAAGCGACACCAACAAGCUCUACUCAUAUCUGUCUAGGUCGAGCUGCACACAGAGUAGAGAUCAAUUCAGGAAACCCAAAGAUCAACUUCAAGCUCCACUAGGUCACAGGUAAAGAAUUUUCUGGACCUAGAGCUAUUUCAGGACUAUCCUUUGUAGUAUUCAUAAUAAUAAUUUAUGAACUGCACUUUUGUAUAUGGCAGUUUCUUUAAUGGAAAUCGGUGGGUAGGCCUACUGUUUAAAAAACUACUACAGCAUAACUAACCAUGUCUUGCUUGCUUUAGUAGGACUUGGUCCAUUUCAGACUCCCAUGACUACAGUUUCAAAAAGAAAAUAUCAUGAACCACACAAUCUUCUGUUGGAAGGGAAGCAUCAAGUGAAUUAAAUGCAUUCAAUAAAAUCACAAAAUACUACAAGAAGCAAAUUAUGAAAUAAAGUGGUGUCCUUAUCUGAGAAGAAAAAAUUGAGCUGUGAGAUUUAAAUGUUUUGUUGAUAACUCAGGAUAAUGCAUUGUUUAAUAUGUCAAACAUCAGAGCUGAAGUGGUCCAGCAAACAAAGCUUAAUUUCAGUGGCUAUCAUUGCCGAUGGUCAAUGCAAUCUCCUUAUAUAAAAAAAACAGAGUUAAGCCUGCCUUACUGGUUAGCCACAUGGUACAUAUCAUCACUACAACAAGAAAAACACUGCAAGAAUGCACACAAAGAAAAGAGGAAAAUUACAAGAUGACCACUUUAAGGGAUUUAUAAAAUGGUAUUCCCUCCGAUCCAUAAAAAGUGUCGCCCACUUAGUACAAAAUUUUUACUGACUUAGUACAAAAUGGGCGACACUUUUUAUGGAUCGGAGGGAGUAUCAACCAAUGUGAAUUUUACGUAUCUUCGUUAAGUUGUAGCAUCUGACUUCAGGGUUCUCACUAUGCUUGUCGGUCUCCUGCAGAAAAUGGGCAUAUUCAGAUGCCUACAUAUAAGCACAAAAAGGACUGUCAUCAGUGUACAGACUUGAUGCUCAAGCAUUCCAUUUGUCUUGAUUCCUCGAAAGAUCCACUUUUGCACAUGGAUAGAAGUUAUAUUGUGAUAUUACUUUACAAGUUUGUUGUGGUAACAUUUGUUACUGGUCAUAAGGGAACAAAAGGGGAGAACAGCAUGUAGAAGUUAGAAGAAAAGAAUCAUUAUAUAAUACCAUUAAUAUUAAAAAAUACUCUGUAUCCGGACUUCCAGUAUAUACCUUACAUCAUGACAACAUUCUUUCUUAGAGCAUUGCCAUAGUUAAACUAGUUAGAGCAUUAGAACCGGUCUCACUUAAGGCACGAGGUAGGGAAAGAAGUGACAGAAACACACAGCAAUAUCACAGAAUCUUGCCAGAUAGUUCAAACACAACGUUUAAAAAGGAUGGCAAAACCAAAAAGGAAAAGAAAAUGAAAAAACAUAUAUUGGAGUCUUCAUAGCACUCCUAAGAACAGACACUCAGUGAAACAUCUUGUUAGCACUAGAAAGGAGGCAAGUGCAGAAACAAAUUAUGAUCCUGCAAGCACCUACUCAACCUUCCAUGCAUAUAGGAUCAGCGAGAAACCAAGACCUUGUAGCUGAGACUCCCUAAAAAUCUGUGAGUAUGACCACGGCAUCGACUUCUCAGGUGCUUGGGAUGUCUGAAACAUGAACACUGCAUUGCUUGUCGACGAUCCAAAGAGCCAACUGUGGACAUCCCAGAACACCUCCACAGGCAAUCCAUCGACGAGAAUUGUCUGAUUUCCCCUAAACUUCCAUGCCAGCCUCUUCACCUGCAUGACCGGUUUCUUAUCGAUACGUAUCUCAAGACAUGGAUCCUUGAGGCUGACAGCAUCGCACUCUAUCACAACAUCAUGAAACUGGCCAUUGUCGCAGAACUGCGCCUUCGCUGAGUAAAUCUUCUUACCAUAUAUGUGCUCUCUCCUUGCUACGAAAGCGGCGUUCGACAUGGGUCGAUUCAUGCCGGUCUUCCGGUAGGCGUCCUUUUUCAUGUCACCGAGCAAGAGCACCAGCUCAAGGUCGAACACCACAGCGACAUAGAACCCCUCCAGUGGUUCUGGCCCUGUGCUGAACUUGGCGCCCGAGAGGUCCCAGAAGAUCUCAAUCUUGCCGCUGUCGACGUCGAGGCUCUUGGACCCCUUCUUCUUGGAAAAGAGCCAUGGCUUAAUUUCUGCCUUGCACAGGGACUGGCCGGACAAGCCGUCCACGCCGAUGCUGAGGCCCUGCCCCAUGAGGCUCUUGCUCCAUGUGACCGAGAUCACGCAGGGCCUGCCCG
rnacentral:lncRNA from 1 species